rnacentral:rRNA from 1 species
CAGGGCGCGAAAACUUUACAAUGCGAGCAAUCGUGAUAAGGGAACCCCGAGUGCCUGUAUACGCAGGCUGUUCAGAUGUCUAAACAACAUCUGGAGAAAGGGCCGGGCAAGACCGGUGCCAGCCGCCGCGGUAAUACCGGCGGCUCGAGUGGUGGCCACUAUUACUGGGCUUAAAGCGUCCGUAGCUGGGUUGUUAAGUCUCCUGGGAAAUCUGCCGGCUUAACCGUCAGGCUGCUAGGGGAUACUGUCUGGCUUGGGACCGGGAGAGGUGAGAGGUACCUUGGGGGUAGGGGUGAAAUCUUGUGAUCCUCGGGGGACCACCAGUGGCGAAGGCGUCUCACCAGAACGGGUCCGACGGUAAGGGACGAAAGCUAGGGGCACGAACCGGAUUAGAUACCCGGGUAGUCCUAGCCGUAAACGAUGCUCGCUAGGUGUCAGUCACGGUGCGACCGUGAUUGGUGCCGUAGGGAAGCCGUGAAGCGAGCCACCUGGGAAGUAUGGCCGCGAGGCUGAAACUUAAAGGAAUUGGCGGGGGAGCACUACAACGGGUGGAGCCUGCGGUUUAAUUGGAUUCAACGCCGGAAAUCUCACCGGGGGCGACAGCGAUAUGAAGGUCAGGCUGAAGACCUUACCCGAUUAGCUGAGAGGUGGUGCAUGGUCGUCGUCAGUUCGUACUGUGAAG